CCAACCACAAACACCUGCAGAAGAUCUCACUCCAAACCCUUGGAGGGAAGACAGCAGAGAGACACUGCGGGCUGUAACAAACAGAAAUUCAAUUCAACCUCAUUAACACAAAACGGUUUUCUCUUGUGAAAACACACACUCGCACAUCGGGGUCCAAAAUCCUACGCAUACAGUGCAGCAAGGCAGCAACCCGCCAAGCAGUGAUGGAAGACCUUGGGUGUUAGCCUUGGCGUCAGCAGGAGAAAUGCAGUAUCUCAGAGACUGACGUCCUAGAAACUUAAAGGUGCACCUGUAAUUUGCCACAGUGCUGGAAAGACUCUGCAUCUUCAUGACUUCCAGGAGCUGGACUCCCAACGUGCCUGCAAUAUUUUCCUACCAUCAUCUCACAGCAUGUUGGAUCCACUCCAUGCAAUCAGCACGCUUGUGGGAAAUUGAUGAAUGAGCAACAAAAUCUUUUUCACACACCCAUUAAGUACGAGCACAACCUGAGAAGGUAUUACUUUGCAUUGUUUCUCUUCGUUUUAUUGCUUCAUUUUCUGUCUUUGGAUGCCUCUGGCUGCUUCAGUUUAGUUGAGUCAUCAGUUUCCAUCAAGAGACUCUUCUUGCAUGUGUAAUGGCCUUUAUUUCAGGACCAAAGGGUUACAUCCCUCUAAGUGGGCACAAUAGAAAUAGAUGAACUGAAAACGCCAUUAUCUUGGAGGAGAGAUUAACAUCCUUUGGGACAGUUAGGCCCAAAAUGUACAUACAAAAGAAACAUGUUUUAGAUUUUAUGUCUUCCUGAAUGGAUUUAGUAAUGGUGCACUUAAACUGAUUAUUUCUCCGUAAUCCUUUCAGGAUUAGAGCUCUUUUAAGACAUGCCUGUUUGUUAUUAUACCCCACACAGCUUGCUCCGCCUCGCUCAGCCCAGAACAUGUGUUUAAACACUUCAUUGAGAGUUUCCACACUCGCUUCGCCCAGUCUUCCACGAUGAGCUGUGAUUCUGCUAUUUUAAAUACCCCCUCAUAAAAAGAUUCACAGUAGUCCAUUUAUCUCUGACGCUGGUGACUAUGAUGCGUGCCACAGCACUGUGGGGAGAACCAAAAAGGGUGUUUUUCUGUCUUUGACACAAUAGUUCAAAGCCCUCCCAGGUGAUCUAAAACCCAGGCAUUUUUUUUCCCUCUUCUUCCUUUCACUCACCAUGGAAAACUACAGCCUAAUCAGGGGGACCACACACACCACCAUGCUGUUUUUUACUGUCUUCGUGUGCCCACACUCCUAGCAUCACCAUAUUCAUAUGCAUUGAUUUGGCAGUAUUAACAUGAUGUCUGUAAUAGAAAAGUCAAAGCUAUCUCAUAAAAACGGUGCAGUGAUGCGAGUCUGAUCGAUACCGGCGAGACAGUGGGAUCACAGAGGAACUGGGCUUUAAACGCCUUUAUUCCUCUUUUGGGAGAAAUAACAUCUGGGGGCACUUCCACAUAUUGCUAUGAUUCAUAAUUAUCACAGUUGCCAUCAAAUCCUUUCAAACCACCAAAAUAAUUGGAUAAUCAGCAGAAAUCCGAAGGUGUAAAAGCUUACUAUUGAUUGACAUCAAAGAAGAAAAAGGUUACCACUUUUUCAUGCAAUUAUUCGUGACCAUGAAAAAAUAUUUGUUUUGUCCAGGACUGCAAUAAAUAAUGGAACAAAUUAGCAUCACAGCGUAAAGGCGAUACAAGUGAAAAAUCAAUAAGACUAUUAGAAUUCAGAGAAUGAACAUUAAGAAAUGAAUAUUAGUCAUCAGCACUUGGGGACCGAAGCCAGAUGAUAUCACUGAAUGCCUGUUGACGUCAAGCUCCAAGCAGCGGCGGCACAAAGAAAGAUGGGCCACUCUGCUGGCAAACUUCAUUCGAACAACAUCUCUGUUUCUGUUGGAGUGUAACCUGUAAUUGAGCAUUUUCAUUUUUUUCUGAUUUAUAAUUAUUACUUGCAGCACCUGUUGUAUUAAAGCAGGAUUUUUCUGAGUGUGUUUCAUCAUUGAAAUGCCUCCUAUUCAAGCACUUUGCUAAUCUCAGCAUGGAGCCGAAGCCGAGCCAUAAUGUUUAGUCCCUCACAUAAUCCACAUUACACAGCUCUCAGCAGAGCAAGCCGCUUACACAAAGACCAUAACCUUGUACAAUUUCGCCAAACAUUGAGGGUCACACUGACUCAGUUAAACUGUGAUCAUACACACUGGCCAAUUGAUGGGCAGAAAUGCAAGACAUAGAUAAUUGUAUUGUUUAUGUGCUUUUCAUUUUACUUUUUGUUUAUCCCACCUGUCACUGCUUCUUUGCUGUAAUAUCUAGACAGAUUUGUUGCAGAAUAUUCCUGCGGAGAUAUUAUCCAUCACCAUCUAU